GGAGAUUUGACUACAGAAGUAGGAGGUAUGAUGACAGAAGUAAGAGAUUAGAGUGUUGGGGAUGCAAGCCCAGGAAUGAUAAGUAAUACUAAGGAAUCCUGGCAGCCUCUAGAAGCUAGAAGAAGCAAAGAAUAGAUUCUCUCCUGGAGCCUCCAGAAGGAACCAACUGCGCAGAGAACUUCCAGCUGUGGGGCCAGCUCCCUUCUUUCAGAACACGCUGAGAGGCACCGUUUCAGAAGAACCUGCACUUACAUUCCGUUUCAUCCCCCGUAUAAAAGAAGACUUGCAGGAAGCAAGAAGGCAUCUUACAGGAAAGACAGAAUUUCUAAAAUAGCAACCUCUCUUCCUCGGACCCUCCAUACUGUUCUACAUGGAGUUUUCCAGGGAACUGCCAGACAGAGCAAAUAAUGACAGCGCUCUGGAAACAGGGCUUUGGAGGAUCUUCAGCCCCUUUCUGCCACCUCUGGGGGCUGCCAGGCUGCUGGUGUUCAAGUGACUGUGGAACAGUUGGUCUUCAAGGCUGCCAUGAAACCAAGGACGGGGGAAUAGAAACAGAGCAAGUUAAAAUGCCACAAAGCUUAUUGUUUUUUACUGAUGACAGUCAGCUCUUUUUCUUGAAUAAACUAUCUUUAGCCUGUUGCAAGCCUUUGGUUAAUUUCUAGAGCUGUAAAAAAGUUGAUUUUGACAAUGUUUUUGGCCACUGUUGGUGGUAGUAGUGUGGGUUAAUAGAUGUUUCAGGUGAACAAAUGCUAACAGAAUCUGAAAUAGUACGGUUGUCUCCAGAUGGAAUGGACUGUCUUAGAAGAUAAUGAAUUCCCUGAUUUUCAAACAGAAGCUCAACAACACACGGCCAGGGGUAUUAUGGAGGGAUUCUAACAUCAGAAGAAUGGCUGGACUAGAUCAUGAUGUAUUUUAUUAUUAAAAUAUUGGAUUAUUUUAUUAUUAUUAAAUAUCUUAAAUAGCCACAAAGUAGAUAGUCCUGUUAUCUAGAC
rnacentral:lncRNA from 1 species